AGUUGGGAUACCAUUAGAAUAGUGGUAAUACCGAAUAUGGUUAUCGGGUUGGUCUGGUAAAGAAAGGGUUCGGCCCCGCCUUGGGAUGGGCCCGCGUCCCAUUAGCUUGUUGGUGAGGUAAGAGCCCACCAAGGCGAUGAUGGGUAGCCGGCCUGAGAGGGUGAACCGCCACACUGGGACUGAGAUACGGCCCAGACNCCUACGGGAGGCAGCAGCUAAGAAUAUUCCGCAAUGGACGAAAGNCUGACGGAGCGACGCCGCGUGGAUGACGAAGGCCGUGAGGUUGUAAAANCCUUUUAUUGCUGAAGAAUAAGCGGGGGAGGGAAUGCCCCCGUGAUGACGUUAGGCAAUGAAUAAGCCCCGGCUAAUUAAGC
rnacentral:rRNA from 1 species